rnacentral:rRNA from 1 species
AGCGCAGGCGGUGCGGCAAGUCUGAUGUGAAAGCCCGGGGCUCAACCCCGGUACUGCAUUGGAAACUGUCGUACUAGAGUGUCGGAGGGGUAAGCGGAAUUCCUAGUGUAGCGGUGAAAUGCGUGGAUAUUAGGAGGAACACCAGUGGCGAAGGCGGCUUACUGGACGAUAACUGACGCUGAGGCUCGAAAGCGUGGGGAGCAAACA